GAUGAACGCUGGCGGCGUGCCUAAUACAUGCCAGUCGAGCGAACGGACGAGAAGCUUGCUUCUCUGAUGUUAGCGGCGGACGGGUGAGUAACACGUGGAUAACCUACCUAUAAGACUGGGAUAACUUCGGGAAACCGGAGCUAAUACCGGAUGAUAUUUUGAACCGCAUGGUUCAAAAGUGAAAGACGGUCUUGCUGUCACUUAUAGAUGGAUCCGCGCUGCAUUAGCUAGUUGGUAAGGUAACGGCUUACCAAGGCAACGAUGCAUAGCCGACCUGAGAGGGUGAUCGGCCACAAUGCAACUGAGGCGCGGUCCAGACUCCUACGGGAGGCAGCAGUAGGGAAUCUUCCGGAAUGGGCGAAGGCCUGACGGAGCAACGCCGCGUGAGUGAUGAAGGUCUACGGAUCGUAAAACUCUGUUAUUAGGGAAGAACAUAUGUGUAAGUAACUGUGCACAUCUUGACGGUACCUAAUCAGAAAGCCACGGCUAACUACGUG
rnacentral:rRNA from 1 species